rnacentral:lncRNA from 1 species
CCAAUGACAACAUCUGAUUAUUCCCAUCCUUAUAAACAGCCACAAGUAAUUGCCCUUUACAAACACCUUUCAAAAAACAACCAUCAAACCUUAUACACCUCUACAACCAUCAAGGUAGGCCUUCUUAAAUGCAUCAAAGCAGAUAAAAAAUGCUACAAACAUUUUCCUUCCAUUUUCAAGUGUUUCUUCACUAAGUCUCACAACACAUGUACUGCCUGGAUUAGUCCUUAGCAGCUCAUCUCUGUAAUCAAGAAUCUGCCAAACUCCUUAACAUGGUCUCCUAUAAUCUGUGUUAACACAAUAUUCUUAGUUUACCUUACAAGAGUCCUUCCAAUAUACACUUCUAACUCAUUUUGAACUAACUCCUGAAACUUACAGAUUCUAAUAUUUGGUUCAGAAAUUAUUUUGUCCUUGUAUCUUUCUGCUAAGUACUUUGAGUUGCACAAUUUGUUCUUGGUAGUACCAUUGCACUUGUGAAGUGGAUUAUAGUUCUUCACCACAAAAUCUUUUGUCUAGAAUCAUAACUAGCAAACAAGAGCCAUGGACAGCCAGCACAACGCUUUACCCUCACCCUUGUUGGUUCAUUAACAUACUUAUCUAACUCUACAUGUUCAUCAAAUGCAUACUUAGUAAGUGCUUCUCUAAACUGUCUAACACUCUCAAAAGAAAGUCCAGUUUCCCAAACAAUGACCUUACAACUAGGAUCAAAGAUAACCCUAUUUUGUUGCUUUCUUCUUGCUCUUACUGGCUGUUAGACUUCAUCAUAAACAGUUUAUCAAGAUCUGUUUCAAAACUAGCAGCUUCAUCUGAGGGAUAGUAUGGCCCAUCUCCAGCAAUCUUACCCUCUAAAGAUGUCUUCUUCCUAGCUGCAUACUCAUCAUAUCCUACAUCUGGACCUUUUUUACCUAACUUGGCAUGUCUAAUUUGAACCUCUUUCUCUUUUUUCUUCCUUCUAUGCACCUUUUUCCUCUCUUCUCUUAAAUUUCUAUACUUCUCAUCAACAUCACAACCAUAUUCUUCUUCCCCUUCCUCAAACACCUAUUCAAUUUCUGAAUCUGUACUAUGGUUACUACUUUCUACAUCAGUUUCAACUAAUGGAGUAUCAUCAAGAUUAGAAGGACCACCCUCAUCCCCACCAGGCACAUUAUCAGCAACAAGGACACUAUUUUGUGGUUCUUCAAACCUUAUACCUUCACUGUCCCUAACACUUUGAUUUAUCCCUUUAUCAAAAGACAUACUAGAUUCCCCACACACUUGGCUUACAUAUUCAAUAGCUGGAUGGACUACUAAUGCUUCAUCAAUAGAGUAGGACACAUUGUCACGACCCGGAUUUCCCACCCUCGGGAGUCACGAUGGCGCCUACUCGUGGAAGCUAGGCAUGCCGAAUAUUACAAAAUCAUUACCCUUUUUAUUAAACAUGUUCGACCAUUUAAAAUAAUAAGUGAUUAAAUAGCGAAAUAAAUUAAAUAACCGAAAAUGCGGAAGACGAAAACAUAAUAAUUCAACCAAAUACUGCUACAUAAUUUGAAGUACAAUACUACCCAGAAUUUGGUGUCCCAAGCACGGACUGUCUAAGAAUACUACAAAUAAGGUCUGAAUGAAAUACAUAAGUCUGUCUCUGAAUAAAUAAAAACAGAAAGAGAAAAGAUAGGAGGAGACGCCAAGGCCCGCAGAUGCCUGCAGGACUACAUCGGGUCGCCUGAAUGGACUGAAGACAGCACCCUCACUGCGGUCCUAACACUUCGGUAUCAGUAUCUGCACACAGUGCAGAGUGUAGUAUUAGCACAACCAACCCCAUGUGUUGGUAAGUGCCUAGCCUAACCUCGGCGAAGUAGUGACGAGGCUAGGACUAGACUACCAAAUAAACCUGUGCAGUUAAAUCAUAUACAACAAAAAUAAAAACAGAUAAUUACAGCUAAAGUUGGGCGGGGGAAACAUGCUGCGGGGAGUAACAGAUAACAACAGAAUAACAGUAGAAAAAUGUAAGGAACGCCAUAAAUUAAUUACCAACAAAAGAUAAGGAAAUAAGGAAAACAAGUACACAUGUAAUACCGUUGCAGGUGUGCAACCCGAUCCUAUUUCAUAUAGUACCGUUGCAGGCGUGCAACCCGCUCCCAUUUCAUAUCUUACCGUUGUGGGCAUGCAACCCGCUCCCAUUUCAUAUAUUAUCGUUUCAGGUGUGUAGUCCGCUCCUAUUUCAUAUACUACUUGCAGACGUGCAACCCGCUCCCAUUUCAUAUCUUACCGUUGCAGGCGUGCAACCCGCUCCCAUUUUAUAUAUUAUUGUUGCAGGCGUGCAACCCGCUCCCAUUUCAUUUAUCAACACCAAUCAUAAAAGAAUCCCGGCAAGGGAACAAUAGUAUAACAACAACAUCCCAGCAAGGGAACAAUAAUGUAAUAACAAUAUUCCGGCAAGGGAACAAUAAUAUAAUAACAACAUCCCGGCAAGGGAACAAUAAUAUUACAACAACAUCCCGACAAAGAAACAAUAAUAUCACAACAACAUCCCGGUAAGGGAACAAUAAUAUAAUUCUUAUAUGAAGCACGAAUAAACCACAACGGAGUCAUAAAAUUUCAAUGCAAGACUCACGGGCAUGCUUGACACUGACGUAUAGAUACUCAUCAUCAUGCCUAUACGUCGUACUCCACAGUUAACAUGUAGCAACUAAGACUCGACUCCUAAUCCCUCAAGCUAAGGUUAGACCAAACACUUACCUCGAUGUCACGAAUACAAUUCAUGGCUCAACUAUCGCUUUACCUCUUGAUUCCACCACCAAUUCGCUCGUAUCUAGCCACAAGUUACUUAACUAUAUCAAUAAAUGCUAAAUGAAUCAAUUCCAAUGCACGAAAAUAGGUUUUUUAAAGUUUUUCCCAAAAAGUCAAAAAUCGCCCUCGGGCCCACAUGGUCAAAUCCCGAGGUUCGAACCAAAACCCGAUUACCCAUUCCCCCAAGAACCCAAAUAUACAAUUUGUUUUGAAAUCGGAUCUCAAAUCGGGGUCUCAAUCCCCAAAAUUUGAAAAACCUAGGUUCUACCCAAAACACCCAAUUUUCCCCAUUAAAACCCUUGAUUUUGAGUUGAAAUUAUGAUAAAAGAUGUUAAAAAUUAAUAAAAACAAGAUAAAUUUGACUUACAAUCGAUUUGGAAGAGUACUUGUCUUUGAAAAAUUGCCCAAGGGCGUCUUGGUUUCGAAAGGGUUUGAAAAAUGGUUGAAAUGCGUCUAAGUUAUGAUUUUGCAGGUUGCAGGUGUCGGCAGAAAACUGACCCCUUCGCAUUUACGACCCAUUUUGAUUUCCGGUCACCUUCGCAUUUGCGACUAAUUUCACUCCGUGGCCUAUCCAAAACUCACCCGAGCCCUCGGGGCUCCAAACCAAACAUGCACACUAACCCAAAAAUAUCAUACGGACUUGCUCGUACAAUCAAAUCAUGAAAAUAACAUGUAAAACUAUGAAUCAAACCUCAAAGCUCAUCAUUUUCAUCAAGAACACUUAAAGUUCAUAACUCUUCAACCGAAGGUCCAAAUCACGUCAAAUAAACUCCAUUUUCCACCAAAUUUCACAGUUAUCAUUUAAAUACUUUAACAAGCUUGUACCGAGCUCCGGAACCAAAAUACAGGCCCGCUACCAAUGGUUUCAAACAUUAAUUCUUUUCUUUAUUUCAUAAUUAAUUUAGCAAAAUAAUUUCUUUCAAAAUUGAUUUCUAAGGCUUGGGACCUCGGAAUUCAUUUCCGGACAUAUGUCCAAGUCUCAUAUUUUACUGCAGACCUCCGCAAUCGUCGGAACGCAGAUCCGGGUCUGUUUGCUCAAAAUGUUGACCAAAGUCAACCAUAUUCAAAUUUUAACUCUAGAAAUUUCUAUCUCUCAUAUUUUCACAUAAAAGCUUUCCGAAUAUACGUCCGGACCACGCACGCAAAUCGAGGUGAGGUAAAAAGGAGGUUUUAAGGCAUCAGAAUACAGAAUUUAUUUCUAACACAAGUGAUGACCUUUUGGGUCAUCACACACAUACACUUCAAAUAUAUCCCCAUCUUUUAAUAGAGGCACAAUACCCAUAAUAUCCCUAUCAGUUAAAUUUUUUUACCAAAGUACUAGAAUUAGGUGGUCUCAGAUAAAUAUCACAUGUUUCACAAUUAUACCCAUUUCUUUCACAGAGUCUACAAACUCAAAAUACAAAAAUCUGUCAACAUCAAUAUCAAAGUACUCUGUCAUAAUACCUCCUUCGUAGUUAAUAGGAUAUUGUUGUAACUGACCUCCAUGGAAUAUCCUCAGUGUAACGAGCUCAAAAGCCAUUUCUUCGAACUGAAAUCAGUAAACAAGAAAAAUAUCCAUAAAUAUUUUUUUUUCAUUUCAAAAUCAACAAGACUACUUGAAGAAAGCAAGAAGAACCUACAAGAGAAGCCAACGAUCUUCAGUAUCUACACGCUAAUUGACGAGAUUUGGGGUGAAAUCGACACUAGGUUUUGACUUCAUCAGUGCUUUUCUCGUUUUGUUUAGAGAGAAAUGAGGUCGGG